AUUGAACGCUGGCGGCAGGCUUAACACAUGCAAGUCGAGCGGGGGAAGGUAGCUUGCUACCGGACCUAGCGGCGGACGGGUGAGUAAUGCUUAGGAAUCUGCCUAUUAGUGGGGGACAACAUCUCGAAAGGGAUGCUAAUACCGCAUACGUCCUACGGGAGAAAGCAGGGGAUCUUCGGACCUUGCGCUAAUAGAUGAGCCUAAGUCGGAUUAGCUAGUUGGUGGGGUAAAGGGCUACCAAGGCGACGAUCUGUAGCGGGUCUGAGAGGAUGAUCCGCCACACUGGGACUGAGACACGGCCAAGACUCCUACGGGAGGCAGCAGUGGGGAAUAUUGGACAAUGGGCGCAAGCCUGAUCCAGCCAUGCCGCGUGUGUGAAGAAGGCCUUAUGGUUGUAAAGCACUUUAAGCGAGGAGGAGGCUACUUUAGAUAAUACCUAGAGAUAGUGGACGUUACUCGCAGAAUAAGCACCGGCUAACUCUGUGCCAGCCGCCGCCGUAAAAC
rnacentral:rRNA from 1 species